rnacentral:misc_RNA from 1 species
UGUGGGAGGGGGCUUGCUCCCGAUAGCGGUGUGUCAGUAUCAGAUGUACUGGCUGACACACUGCAUCGGGAGCAAGCCCCCUCCCACA